UAUGCCCUCUCUCCUAUCCCGAUUCAGAUCAUCCCUCCCUUGUGCCACCGCCACCUCCCCCAGCCCCAACCCAGCGACCCGGCCCCGACCUCAGCAACCACCGCCCUCCUCUGGCUCGCGCCGCAGUCGCCGCAUCCCCGGCUCCUCACCACAAGCUCCAGCAAGCCCGCCCUCCCCGCGGCAGCGGCCGCCGCGCCCUGCGGCUCGCGAGGCGACGAGCUCCGCAGCGCCUCCGACGACCGCGCCCGGAGCGCGACGGCGGCGCCAUUCCAAGCACUUGACGCCACGCUCCGCCGCGGCUCCUUCACCGUCCGCCGCUCCUCCGGGCUCUGUACCUCGCCGAAUUCCCCCUUAGUCACGGCCUCUCGUCCGGGCUCUGCACCUCGUCCACGGCUUCUGCACCUCGAUGGUUGCUGCUGGACUCUACCCCUCCAAGUUGCCCGGACGCCUCCCCAACUCUCCCUCCUCCCCAACAAGGCCGCUGCCGUCCUGGCGGCGUGCCUCGGCCCCGCGGCGGCGGACCAGCCCGGAUCCGUCGAGGGAUACACCAUCGCCGGCCGCCGCUCAUUCGUGCCUUCCUGUUACUGAGGUUGGGGAGCAGGAUCUGGCGCUGGGGUUCAAGGUCAACGCCAAGGGCACUGCUGCUGCACGCCUUCAUCAGCGUCUUCUCCUGGCACAACGAGACCAUCAACAUCUGGACGCACCUGCUCGGCUUCUUCUUGUUCUCGGGAAUUUUUAGAGUAGCAUUUCUCAUGACUCCAUUGGCAAGGCCGAUGGUGAGAAGUGUAAGUACCUGAGUGAUGCUGUUUCGUGGAAUAUGCCCAGCCACGUGGAAGCAACAACUCUAUUUCAAGGCUGUGUCGUGCAGGUUCUGAUCAUGGUAUGGCAGCACACUUUCCAGCGUCGAUCUGAGCAAACGAUGAUGCAAGGCUGCUCCUCCUUGUACUGCAUGUCUUCAUCGACUUGAUUCUUUGACAGGGAGAUAUUUAAAGCCUUCACUUGUUCAUUGUGUCAUCUGCUGAUUACUUUUUCUAUUAUUUUCUUGCAAAGCAUGUAAUGGUUUGGAGUAGUUGAUCAUGGCCUGAUGGAACAUUCAUGUUGUUAGCAUGUAUAUAUACACUAUUACAGCAGCUUGUUGAUCAAGCGCUUCUUUCUAUCUAAAUGUGUGCACAGAAGUUCAAUUACCUUCUAAAAAAUUAUUGGUGCACUAUCUAUCUAUAUAUAUACACUAUCUAUCUAUAUAUAUAUAUACACUAUUACAGCAGCUUGUUGAUCAAGCGCUUCUUUCUAUCUAUAUAUAUACACUAUCUAAAUUGUUUGCAACGGCAUUAUGCACAUGAGGCAGGACUAUACAAGUGAAUUGUCACAGUAAGGUCCUUCCAUGGAUUUCAUGUGGCUCCUUGAGUUGUAAGAUGCAGCUCCAACAUUGAAUAUAUUUUGAAUGUUUCCAAAGAUACUCUCUGUUACGUUUACUUCAAUAUAUACAUGCAUGUUACUGAUAGCUAGAAGCUGGCUGCAGGAAUCCGUACACAUAUAUACUCUCUUGUACAGUACAUUGCUAGAUCACUCACUAGGCAUUAUGUAAUACUACUAGGAGAUAUGGGUGAGGGACUAAAAGGAUGAUACGCUUCCAUGAAUUUAUUUGUAAGAAGUUUUUCUUGGCUGUGUACAAAUCAGCCCAAAUGAAUUUAUGUUCUUUUUUACCUCCAGAGUUAUAGUGCACUCAUACUGUCAUCACAUUGCGUGUUCUUGCUGCAUAUACCUCUCUAUUUGCUUAGGCAGACAACUACUUAUGUAAUAUGCAAACAACAGCAACAGAGCUAGUGAUGCUAAUUCUACCUCUUGUUACAGAAUCAGAAUUCCUCUUGUUGCACAGGACAACUCCAUUUCCUCUUGUUACAGAAUCAGAAUUCCUCUGCUUCUUAUGCUACUCUACUAGAACUCUGCUUUUCUACUUGUCAUAUUGAAUAUACAUGUUCUAAACAUUAUACAGUACUUUCGUUGUUAACUCCAAACAACUUGGGAUCUUCUCUUCUGCAUGCAGCAACUGGCUUACCAGUACACCGCCAAGGGGGCAUGCCUUGCCCUGGUAGCAAGGAGGGAGUGGAGCCUGUGGCAGGUCGCCGACCGCGCCUUCGAGCUCGGCGCGCAGGACGUGAUCAUUCUCCCCGGGGACAUCGCAGACCCCGACGACUACAACAGAUUUGUUCAGGCCACAAUCGACCAGUACAGCCAAUGGCGACCGUGGAAGGCAUGAUGAUAGUUCAAAUUGGCAUUCUGUUAGUCCAGUGUAAUGAAGGUCAUGGCCUAGUCAAGUAUGGUCGCCCAUUAAGUCGUGCAUAUGUUUUAUAUGAUUGGAGCAGGGGCCCAGUUUGUGCCGAUUGUCACUGCAUAUGUUUAACUGUGAUUCUACUUGUAUAUGUGUUAUUACACUAGUAGAAUUUGUACCUGUGCGAUGACUGGAGCAGGAUCCCAAUAUUUGUAGAGAUUGUAACAUUGAUUGUCACUGUAUACAGAUUGAUUCUGGUUGCUGUUACUUGAAGUAUUUCUUAUGUUUUA